rnacentral:tRNA from 1 species
CCUGAUAGCUCAGUUGGUAAAAUAUCUGCCUGCAAUGCAGGAGACCCUGGUUCAAUUCCUGGGUCAGGA